rnacentral:tRNA from 1 species
GCUGGUGUGGUGUAGUGGUUUGAAUGUUGGACUAGGACUCUGGAGACCAGGGUUUGAUUCCCAUCUUGGGCA